rnacentral:tRNA from 3 species
GGGCCAGUAGCUCAGUCGGUUAGAGCACUGCUCUGAUAAGGCAGGGGUCAUAAGUUCAACUCUUAUCUGGCCCA